rnacentral:misc_RNA from 1 species
AACAUCGCGCACCUGCGGGAACCUGCGGAAGGAUCAUUACUGAGUGAGGGUCUUUCUGGCCCGACCUCCAACCCUUUGUUUAUUAUACCAUGUUGCUUUGGCAGGCCCGCCUUUCGGGGCUGCCGGGGGCGCUACUGCCCCUGACUUGUGCCUGCCAGGAGCCUUCCUUAAAUUCUGUGUUUAGCUGUGCUGUCUGAGUCCCAAUAACAAAAUAUACAAAACUUUCAACAACGGAUCUCA